UUCUCGAGAAGGUGCAUGAAC
rnacentral:miRNA from 1 species